AUGAUAUUUGCUGGAGGUGUUUUUAUAAAUACCCUUUAUCAAGUUAACAGUUAUUUGAUAUUACUACUUGGUGAGUUUUUAUCAUGCUUAAGAGCAUUUAUCAAAUACUUUCCCUGUAUCUGUUGAGAUGAUCAUAUGAUUUUUUUCCAUCUUUGAUAUGUUAAAUUGAGUUAGUUUUCUGAAGUAUCCUUGCAUUCAUAGGGUAAACUCCAAUCUUUCAUGAUAUAUUAUCCUUAUUAUACAUUGCUGGAUUCGGGGUGUUUGUGCAUAUGCGCACACACAUACUUCAUUUGCAUAUCUGUAUAUAUAUUCGUGUGGAUGGGUGUGUACAUGUAUAUAUAUUUCAGGUGUUUUUCAUCUGUGUUCAUGAGUAAGAAUGCCCCUUCUCAUGCUUGUUGGGCUUUUUUUAUUAAGGUUAUGCUAGCCUGUAAAGUAAGUUACAGGUGUUCUUUCUUACUCUUUUCUAAAGAAGUUUUUUAAGACUGGAAUUACUUCUUCCUUAAGUAUUUGGCAGAACUACCUGAAAGCCACCUGACCGUGAAGUUUUCUAUAUGGGAAGAUUUCUGAUCACUGGUUCAAUUUAUUUAAUGAUUGUAGAACUAUUCAGAUUUUCUAUUUCUUUUAAAGUCAGUUUUGGGGUGCCUGGCUUUCACAGUUGGUAAGCGUCUGACUCUUGGUUUCGGUUCAGGUCAUGAUCUCAGGGUCAUGAGAUCGAGCCCAGCACUGGGCAGUGUCCAUCACCCAGCCACCCCAUCCCUCCCACCCCCCUCCACUCCAGCAACCCUCAAUUUGUUUCCUGAGAUUAAGAGUCUCUUAUGGUUUGUCUCCCUCUCUGGUUCAUCAUUUUAAAUCUUUUUUUGAAAAGUCAGUUUUGAUUGAGUUAUUUUAGGUAAGGUGCAAUCUUUUAGGAAUUUAUAAUAAAUUUGAAAAUUUAGAUGAAAUACACAAAGUUGUUUAACAAUAUCCUCUUAUUAUCUUUGUAAUAUGUACAGGAUCUAUAGUGAUAGCCUUUCUUUCAUUCCUGGUAUUGUUUAUUUGUGCCUUUUGUUUUUCCUUGAUUAACCUUAUCAGAGGCUGGCCAGUUUUUUCAGUCCUUUCAAAUAACUGAUUCCUACCAGCCACAUAUGAGGGAUCCAGUUGUGUCACAUUGUCCCAACACAGUAUUUUCAGUGUUUUCAAUUUAGACUUUUUAAUCCUGUUGAGUGUGUACAGUUAUCUCAUUUUGGUUUUAUUAGUUUAUCACUAGGGAAAUGAUAUUAAUUAUCUUUUCAUAUGCUUAUUGGCCAUUUGAGUAUCUUCUUUUGUGAAAUGCCUAGUAAAAUUUUCUUGCCUUUUUUUAAUUACCUUUUUUUCAAGAUUUUAUUUAUUUAUUUGACAGAGUGAGCACAAGCAGGCAGAGCGGCAGGGAGAGGGAGAAACAGGCUCCCUGCUGAGCAGAGAGCCCAAUGCGGGGCUUGAUCCCAGGACCCUGGGAUCAUGACCUGAGCCAAAGGCAGACACUUAACUGACUGAGCCACCCAGGUACCCCUUAAUUGCCUUUUUUUAAAUUGACUGGUAGGAGUUACUUCAGUAUUCUGGAUGUGAGUCUUUUGUCAGAUUUAUGUAUUGCAAAUAUCUUCUCCUAGGCAGGGGACUAUUCAUUCUCUUAAUGAAUGUGUUAAUAAACAAAAGCUCUUAAUUUUAAUAAUGUCCAUUUUAUCAUUUUCUUAUAUGGCUAGUGAUUUUGGUAUCCCAAUUUAAGAAACCUUUGUCUAAAGUAACUUUGACAAAGAAAACUUUGUCCAAAGUAAAGAAGAAAUUUUCAUAUUUUCUUUUAGACACUUUAUUGUCUAUAAGUUCCCUUUCUCACCUUUGUUGAGCCUUUCAUACUUAGAUCUACGAUGCAUCUGGAAAUAAUUUCUGUAUAUAGUAUAUGAUUCAACCUUUAGAAUUUCUUUUAAUGAAGGUCUGCUGAUAGCAAACUCUAUUUGGUUUUUAAGUAUCUUUAUCUCAUUUAAAAAAUAUUUUUUGAAGGGUAUAGAAUUCUAGGUUGGGAUUUUUAUUUUUUAUUUUUUUUAGCACUUUGAGGUUAUUCUACUGUCUUCUGGCUUCAAUUAUUUCCCUUGUAAGUUACCAGCUUAACAGUUGAUACUCCCUUGAAAGUAAUCAACCUUUUUCCCUGAUUGCCUUCAGGAUCUCCUCUUUAUUUCUGUUCUGUGUCACUAUGAUAUGUCUGUGUGCUGGCUUUUUUUGUUUGUUUGUUUUUUCUGAUCCUGCUUGAGAUUCUUUGGGUUCCUUGAAUUAUUAUCUUUUAUCAAUUCUGAAAGAUUUUCAGCUAUUAUAUUUUGAUUGUCUCUAUCAUUCUCUCUUUCUUUCAAAAGCUCUGAUAACAUGUCAGACCUGUUGUUGUGUCCACCAUGCCCUUUAUGUUUCUUAACCCAUUUCAUAUUUUCCAGUCUUUUCUCUCUGUGUUACAUUCUGGUAAUUUCUUCAGAAUUACAACCAAACGAAUUUGAGGAAGAACCUCUAUUUUUCAAGAAAUGAAAAUGAAUUUUAAAAAUCCAACAGGUGGAUUAAACAGACAUAGCUAAGGAGAGACUUUUUAAACUAGAAUCUCAGAAUGUUUGUUUCUACUGGCUAACUUAGGGAUGGUACCCAUAGUUCAGAGCCAUGUUAAACUAGAUUUUCAGCUUAACGUUUUUUUGACCAGUGUGAUGUUUGCUGCAAAACUUAAUGAAAUUCACUGAUUUGUGGUUACAAAUUAUCAGUGAUAAGUUUUCCCAACUUCUAUUCAGUGCCAAGGUAAAAAACAGGCAGUUUUCUUUAACCCUUUGGUGGGGUUGGGGGAGGAACAUUUUAUUUCAAGUUCACUGUUACGGUGAGGGGUGGUUCUUUGGGAUGUCAGCUUUAUGGGCUGGGGUCUCCUAUUUGACCCCUCUUCUUGAACAGGCCCAGCACUUUCUUCUCUAUCCCCAUGUGGACUUGAAAAUGGAAGCUCAUAAUCCUAGCCCUCAGGGCAAAAGCUGGCUUCAGAGUUUUCUUUACCUCUCUGGGUUUUUGCUUGGAUAUUUACAUUUUGCAUAACUUUAGCAGCUGAUUUCAGCAGGCAAGCACUUACUUAGUCUGAUGCUGCCAGAAACAGGUGCAUAACUUUCUUAUAUUCUUUUUUUUUUUCCUAAGAUUUUAUUUUUAAGUAAUCUCUAUACCCACGGUGGGGCUCAAACUCAAAAUUCAAAGACCAAGAGUCACAUGCUUCACCAACUGAGCCAGCCAGGUGCCUAAUUUUCUUAUAUUCUUGACAACACUAUUUCCUCAACGUUGUUGCUGAAGAUCCAUACCUAAGAGUUUAAGGUAUGUUACAAUAGAUAUUUGGUAGAGGGGGAUGGCAGCCCUUCACCUUCCUUGCAGUAUCAUGACUUCCUUUUUGGGAAUAAACAUAGAAAUUGUGGGGGCGCGUGGGUGGCUCAGUCGUUAAGCGUCUGCCUUCGGCUCAGGUCAUGAUCCCAGGGUCAUGGGAUUGAGCCCCGCAUCGGGCUCCCUGCUCAGCGGGAAGCCUGCUUCUCCCUCUCCCACUCCUCCUGCUUGUGUUUCCUCUCUCGCUGUCUCUCUGUCAGAUAAAUAAAUAAAAUCUUUAAAAAAGAAAAAAAGAAAUUGUGUUGGUAUGAUCUAAAGUUACUAGCCUAUAUGUGGGUAGUAGGUUUUUCAUUUAGAAAGUAGUUUUGAAUCCCAAAUUUGUAGGAAUUUUUUCCCAUAUAUGUUUAUAUACUGAUUAAAUUUAACACAAGUGACUCUUUAGUAAUGUUAGAAUAUAUUUCUAUUGACCAGGACUUCAGUUGUUCCUUUGAGAAGAUCAGUUAUAAUUCUUUGUUUCACUUUUUCCAGGAGAUUCUGCUUUCUGCAGGAGAAGUGGGGUUCGGUUUCAUCAGGGGUGCCACUGCUAGUACCCAGCUAACCCUGACUGCCUCUGAUGAACCAGCGAGCCUGCAGUGGGGCCCUGAGAACAGUCUGAGCAAGUUUCCAAUGCUGCUGACACCGCUGUCGAAGAGCCACAACUUAAGAAGCACUGCCUUGGAGGGACCACCCCGUGGGUGAAGGAGAGCACCACAGCUAGCCAGAUUCCCUUAGGGGAGCCCCCCAACCUAGAGGAACGGAGGCGGCAGUCCACUAGAAUACCAAUUUUUAUAUACAAAAUGGACCCCAACCAGUGAGGCCUCCUCAUCUCAACCCUUAUCAAUCAAGAUUAAAACUCAGUGCAUGUGUGUGCUUCAUCCAGCGUCGGCAGGCUGCAUCCGUGCCUUCAGGCUCUGUUAAGGAGAGUGGUCCUAGAGGACCUUCACUUUCAAAGGAGGCGAUGAAGAGAGCUGAGAGAUGAAAAGCUCCUCAGAACCCAUGUGCACGUACGGUCAGUCUGCCUACCACACGUUAUCCCUUCCUUUCUAGGGGAGCAGCUGGGCCCAGGCAAAGAC